UACGGAGGGUGCGAGCGUUAAUCGGAAUUACUGGGCGUAAAGGGCACGUAGGCGGUUGUGUAAGUUGGUUGUGAAAACCCCGGGCUUAACCUGGGACGUGCAAUCAAAACUGCAGAGCUAGAGUCGGGUAGAGGGAGGUAGAAUUUCCGGUGUAGCGGUGAAAUGCGUAGAGAUCGGAAGGAAUACCGGUGGCGAAGGCGGCCUCCUGGACUCAGACUGACGCUGAGGUGCGAAAGCAUGGGGAGCAAACAGG
rnacentral:rRNA from 1 species